GAUGAACGCUGGCGGCGUGCCUAAUACAUGCAAGUCGAGCGAACGGACGAGAAGCUUGCUUCUCUGAUGUUAGCGGCGGACGGGUGAGUAACACGUGGAUAACCUACCUAUAAGACUGGGAUAACUUCGGGAAACCGGAGCUGAUACCGGAUAAUAUUUUGAACCGCAUGGUUCAAAAGUGAAAGACGGUCUUGCUGUCACUUAUAGAUGGAUCCUCGCUGCAUUAGCUAGUUGGUAAGGUAACGGCUUACCAAGGCAACGAUGCAUAGCCGACCUGAGAGGGUGAUCGGCCACACUGGAACUGAGACACGGUCCAGACUCCUACGGGAGGCAGCAGUAGGGAAUCUUCCGCAAUGGGCGAAAGCCUGACGGAGCAACGCCGCGUGAGUGAUGAAGGUCUUCGGAUCGUAAAACUCUGUUAUUAGGGAAGAACAUAUGUGUAAGUAACUGUGCACAUCUUGACGGUACCUAAUCAGAAAGCCACGGCUAACUACGUG
rnacentral:rRNA from 1 species